ensembl:lncRNA
AAGCAGGUGCUAUGGCUCAGAACACCCAGAGCUCUGCACUAUGUGGCCACAGAAAGCCUCGGGGAGAGGUGGCCUGGAAGCUGAGUUCUAGUCCUGGGAAGAGUCAGGAAAAGCAUCCCAGGCAGAAGAAAGGGCAAGUCAGAAGCUCUGCUCGGGGGCCUGCAGACUGUGCACAGCCCCAGGGCCUGCCCAGCAUCACCACAGGUGGGAGUCUGUCCCAGGCAGGCCCUGGAGGCCAUGGCCAGGAUUUGAUUUCCUUCUGUGAAGGGAGCCGCAGAGGAGUUUCCAACGAGGGAGCCUUGUGAUGGGAAUGAUGGUUUCAAACGUGAUCUCUGAGGCUCUGCAGGAGAACAGACGGUAAACAGACAAGAGUGGAGGUGAGGAGGCCACGGUCCCUGAUGGACCCCAUGGCAGGGGGAAUGCAUGGGACCCUCUGGGGAGGCGACACCAUGGGACGGCAGCCUCAAAACCAGAGCAGCAGCAGUGGGAGAGAAAAUCAGACGAAUGUGGGGGAUGUUUGGAGCAGGGGUGAGAGAAAAGGAGGGAUCGAACCAACUCCUAGGCCUCUGGCCUUGGUGACGGGUGAAGAUGACACUGUUGGCCCAGUGGGGAAACGCAGCAGGAAGAUGACCAGCGCCCUGAAAACUCGGGCCCUGUGCUUGACAAUAUAGCUCCACUGAGUGCUAUUUAAUCUGGGUUGUUGGAAAGAUUCCCCGUGGUUCUGAGUGCUCCUGGUUCAUUAUUAUGAGCAUCGCACAUUAAGCUGCUACGGGAGACGCAAGCAUCUCGGUUCAUGUCGUUGGUGGUGCGCCGCAGAAACUGGUUUUUACGCCAAUAUUGACCUAACUGGCCAAUGCAGACUUUGAAAAUGCAUGUUGAAGAAACAGUGGUCAGAUCUGGGGUCACUGGAAUUCAGCAGAGAAGAUUUGCAUCCCCUCUUCUGACCACUCUUUUUGCAAAGUUUCCGUGCUCACCCAUCAAUACUUCUUUGUGAAUUUCUGGAAGCCCAAGUUCCAGGAGCCUAAUUAAUUUAGUUCCUCUGAUAGGAGGAUGAGCCAAGGGAAAGGAAUGGCUGUUAAAGGAGCUUUUAUCUCAGCCCAAAUUGUAAUCAGCUUUCUAAUUAACGGAACAAUUUAACUGAAACUAACUAUUUUAGUUAGCCCCGUCCAGGAAUUUCGGGUGGUGGCAGCGAGAGGUGUGUGUGGAAAAAUUAAAGCAGAAAAGUUCCAAAAUGCUGACCUGAGAUUGGAAAGUAACAGGAAUGCGGGCUUUCGAACUGUGCAGACGUCACACGGUCUCCUUGGUCAUGCAUAUCUCGUCAUUAUCAAACACUGGGAGCCAGAUUCUUCAGACAUUACCGCAGAGUUCAUCACACCUCACUGCAGACGGGCUCUGCUCUCCGUGCUCAGUAGCCACUGGGGGCCAGUGGCCACCAUCCCAGACAACACAAGUCCAAGGGCAGCGAGGAAAAUGCACUGAGCAAAGCCUGAACCUGGAAGCACUGAAAACAGUGAGAACCCAGAGCACCUCAGCAGCCUCAGGCAGGAGCCUACUCAGAAAACGCAAGAGAAGAGGAACUGUUGAAAUUGAGAAAUAAAAUGUUCUCAUUCUCCAUUUUC